CCUACGGGAGGCUGCAGUGGGGAAUAUUGCACAAUGGGGGAAACCCUGAUGCAGCGACGCCGCGUGAGUGAAGAAGUAAUUCGUUAUGUAAAGCUCUAUCAGCAGGGAAGAAAAUGACGGUACCUGAGUAAGAAGCCACGGCUACAUACGUGCCGGCAGCCGCGGUAAGACGUAGGGGGCAAGCGUAAACCGGAUUUACUGGGUGUAAAGGGAGCGUAGGCGGCAGUGCAAGUCUGGAGGAAAAGGCGGGGGCUCAACGCCCGGACUGCUCUGGAAACUGUACGGCUUGAGUGCAGGAGAGGUAAGAGGAAUUUGUAGUGUAGCGGUGAAAUGCGUAGAUAUUAGGAGGAACACCAGUGGCGAAGGCGGCUUACUGAACCGUAACUGACGUUGAUGCUCGAAAGCGUGGGUAGCAAACAGGAUUAGAUACCCCGGUAGUC
rnacentral:rRNA from 1 species